rnacentral:lncRNA from 1 species
AACGGCUCUCGCGGCUGACCACCAUCACCACCCUCACCACCCUUACAUGCCAUUUUUCACGGCAACUUCCCAUCGUUCACAACCAAGGUGAUUUUGGAACCCCCAACCUCGAGUCUUUCUUAUUUUGAUCCCUUGGUGAUAUUUCUAAUCUUAAAUAUGAGGUUUAUGGGUGUUUUAAUGCAGAUCGCAACUCGGGGAAGAAAUUUCCCCAUAUUUGUGGAAGGAAUAAACUGUGGUCAUUGAGCCACUUUCAAAUCACUUUUUUCGGCUGGCUCCGACCAUGUUUUGACCUUAAGAUGGUACGAUACUGUUCUCCUCAUUACAAGCUUCAAAUACAUAGGUAGA